UUAUGAUGUCAGGUGCCUGGACAAAGCUUCCAAGUGGGCAGUAGUGGAUGGAUAUGUCCUGUGAGAUGUCACUAGAAGGAUGAGGAAGAAGCUUCUCACCACCUUCAGGAUGGAAUCAAAGCUCCCUGCAAACCCCACGAGGCCUCCACAACAGUCCUGCUGCCUCUCCGGCCACCUCUCCCCAUGCUCCUAGCCUACUCAGCUGCCCAUGGUUUCAUGAAUACUUGCUGUUUUCUUUGCCUACAAUGGCUUCCUCAAGCAUGGCAAACUUGUUCUCAGAUUUACAAUUCCAGGGGGGAACAACAAAGAAGAAAGAAAGAAGAGAAAAGAAGAGAAAAAGAAAGAAAGAGAGACCCAUCUACAGAAACAGAAGCAUAUUAGAACCAACACAGCCAAAAAGGCUGGGAAAUGCAGUUUUCCUGGGAUACUUUUUCUUUGGGGAUUCUUUCUACAGAUGGUUUACACGACCACCUAAAACAUUAAUCACACCUUAUUUUUGGCCCAAUACAGUAUAAUCCAGUUGAGUUACUGACCUUGACAACAGAUAACUCUUGGAAAUUCUGAUAACCUAUUUUUCAAAAGAAGAUCUUCCAGUUCUGAUGAGAUUGUAAGCACUAUUACCAAGUUCUAAGGGAAUUCCCAAAGAAGAAUUUUCAAUAUUUUGAGUUAUGGUGGUAGCUUCCUGGCAGAGAGACAAUGUGGCAUCCUGGGAGCUUAGGGCCUGAAGGACCUGGGUUUGAAUCUCAGCUGACCAUUUGCUAGCCCUUGGCUGUGUUACUUAACUGUCAG